UCUCCGUAGGUGAACCUGCGGAGGGAUCAUUACAGAGUUCAUGCCCUACCGGGUAGAUCUCCCACCCUAUGUUAUUAUUACUUUGUUGCUUUGGCGGGCCGUUAGGCUCCGGCCCGACUACCGGCCCCGGCUGGUAAGCGCCCGCCAGAGGACCCAAAACCCUGAAUAUUAGUGUCGUCUGAGUACUAUAUAAUAGUUAAAACUUUCAACAACGGAUCUCUCGGUUCUG
rnacentral:misc_RNA from 1 species